rnacentral:rRNA from 1 species
UACAGAGGGGGCAAGCGUUGUUCGGAAUUACUGGGCGUAAAGGGCGCGUAGGCGGCCUUCUAAGUCGAACGUGAAAUCCCCGGGCUCAACCCGGGAACUGCGUCCGAUACUGGAAGGCUUGAAUCCGGGAGAGGGAUGCGGAAUUCCAGGUGUAGCGGUGAAAUGCGUAGAUAUCUGGAGGAACACCGGUGGCGAAGGCAGCAUCCUGGACCGGCAUUGACGCUGAGGCGCGAAAGCCAGGGGAGCAAACGGG